AUGGUCAAGCUCCUCGCCGACCUCCUCCACGACGUCCCGCCCGCGCCCUGCACCGGCCUCGCCCGCCCCCGCCCCCGCCCACGUCUCCUCGCUCCUCCUGCUCCUGCCUCCCCACACCGUCUCCCCGCUCUCGCUCUCCCUCCCCGCGCUUUCCUUCAUAUGCGCACGCCGUCCGUCUCGCCACCUUCCCCGGCACGCCGCAUCACUCUGAACCAGUAUGCGGCUUCCCACAUAUCGUUCCCCCUUGUCAAGAUUCGUCAGCUCACCCUUGCCCGUGUCCUGUUCGAUGAAAUGCCGCAGUCUGGUGUUCGCCUGGAUGAGUAUGCUUACACGGCUGGGAUUCGGGCUUCGGCGAGGCAGGGUAUCUCACGACGCGGAGAGGCUCGUGGUGUCGUAUGUACUGCUGUAUGGAUUGAAGCAAGAAUCAACGCAUUCAGUGCUAAUGAAGUGACCUACUGGGCGUUGCUGUAUGGAUUUUGGUUGGACGGAGGAGCUGUAAAUGGCAUUGAGAAUGGCAGCAUGACCAGGUUUAGUUUCGUGUCAUCGGAGGCCAAUUCGUAUUUAUGCUUGAUGGGCUACGAAAGAGGGGGCAGUUUGAGGAGGCUUUCAGUUUAG
rnacentral:rRNA from 1 species